rnacentral:lncRNA from 1 species
CCUCAAGCCAUCCUCCCUCCUCGGCUUCCCAGAGUGUUGGGAUUACAGGCAUGAGCCACCACGCCCAGCCUAGGAGGGAUUGUCAUUUCAGCUAUUCAGUCCCUGCCGCCCACUCUGCACCAGGCCCAAGGAGGAGCUGGGGACAGAGGUGAAUAUGGCACACUCUCUGUUCCCAAGGAGCCAAGUCAGCCAGGGGAGACGGAAAAGGACAGCCUUGUGUGACCAGUGCUGGGACCCCAGCCACGCACAGGGGCUGCAGAAAUCCAUAGGAGAGCAUUUUCUCCCGACCUGGAGGAGGUGACACCCUGAUUCUCGCCUGAUUCUCUUUAACCACAGCUAAUGCUUUGAGAUGGAUUACAUCCCACUUUGCAGAAGAGGAAACAGAUGCGGAGAGGUAACAGCAAUGCCUAGUGAGGGCCAGGGAGGGGAUUUGAACCCAGGGCUUCCAACUCCAUCAUUCCCAGAAAGCACUUUGGGAAAUGACUGUUUCUUCUGUCCAGGGAGCCUCUUGUCACACUCAGCCAACUCAUGUCAGGCACCAGAGCCAAUGUCAGGCCUCCUGCUCAGGCCCCAGUCAACCCCGUCUGCUGGGAGAUUUUCUCCCGCAGAGGUCACAAGUUCACAGGACCCAAGCCCAAAGCGGGAGGCACAGACAGCAGCCCUGGGGUUCUCCCAGUAGUCGGAAACGGGCUGGCUGCCUCUGGGCUCACACUGGGAUCAUCAGAGCAGCAGCUCAGGCUCGGAUGGCCAGAAUUAGGGUGGGUUGGGGUCAUGGAGGGAAGAAGGCCCCGGAGAUCUGAUGGCUCCUAGCCUGAGGCUCUCUGUGUUUGGGCAUGAACCUAUGAUACAGUUUGUCAGUGUCUCCACCCAAAUCCCAUCUUGAAUUGUAGCUCCCAUAACCCAGCGAGAGGUAACUGAAUCACGGGGGUGGGUCUUUCCCCUGCUGUUCUCAUGAGAGUGAAUAAGUCUCAUGAGAUCUGAUGCUUUUAUAAAGGGGAGUUCCCAUGCACACACUCUCUCGUGCCCGCCACCAUGUAAGAUGUGACUUUGCUCCUCCUUGGCCUCCCAAACUGCUGGGAUUACAGGCGUGAGCCACUGCGCCUGGCCAGCUACAUGGUUUCUUUUUGGAGCGAUGGAAAUGUGUAAGAUUAGUUUGGGGUGAUGGUUGCAAAAUGACAUAGAUUUACUAAAACUCAUAGGAUUGAACACUUCAGAUGAGGGAAUUUUAUGGUAUGUAAAGUAUGUCUCACUAAAGCUGUUGAAAUGAAGGCAGCCUCCCAGGGCCCAGAGAGGUAUCUAAAGACUCUGGUUAUGCCAGCCGCGGUGCCUCACACCCGUAAUCCCAGCAUUUUGGAAGGCCAAGAUGGGAGGAUUGCUUGACUCGAAGAGUUCAAGACCGCCCUGGGCAACAUAGCAAGACCCUGUUUCUUUAUAGUUUAAAAAAAGACAAAAAAAUAAGGACCCCGGUUUGAAAUGCAUUAAAAAUUAGAAAUAGAAAAAAAAUUAAAAAUAAAGACUCCCAGCCUGGUGUGGUGGCUCACGUCUGUAAUCCCAGCACUCUGGGAGGCCAAGACAGGAGGAUCACUUGGGGUCAGAAGUUCAAGACCAGCCUGGCCAACAUGGCGAAACCCCGUCUCUACUAAAAAUAUAAAAAUUAGCUGGGUGUGGUGGCACGUGCCUGUAAUCCCAGCUACUCGGGAGGCUGAGGCAGGAGAAUCACUUGAACCCGGGAGGCGAAGGUUGCAGUGAGCUUUUGCACUGCAGCAGAACAAGACUUCCUCUCAAAAAAAGAGACUCUUCUAGACAGACAGACCCUGCCUGAGCACAUGACCUGGCCAGGGGGCCUUCCUACAUGUCCUUGUCCUAAAGCAAGCUGUAGGUACCCUCUUCUUGGGGCAGCCGUGGGCAGGACUUUGCCCAGCUAUUCCUCCCUCCCCACCAGUCCCUCUGAGGACAGGUCCCCAGAGAGAGGCAGGCAGGAGUUCCAAGGAGGGAAGGGGCCCUGUUGUUCGAGUAAUAAGCUCAUUCUGAUGCUCCAGGAGCCUCCUGGGGAUGGCAGCCAUGGUUAAUCAGCCAGAUGGCUUGGGCAACAUGAACUGACGUUGGUGCCAGCUGUGUGAGGGGCACAGGGCAGGGGGGCCAGGCGGCUGGCAGUAUGCCCCCUUCCCACUUUUUUUCUCCCCUGGGAUCAGAGAAAGGAGGCCUCUUGCCAUCAACAUGGAAUCUCCACCCCCAGGUUCUUCAAACAGAGGCAGACCCCUCUACGGCUGAAAUAUCAGAGGGCAGAGAGCGCCACGUGCACCCCAGGCCCCCACCAGCUCGGGGACAAGGGGCAUUGGCAGUGCAGAUUCAUGGUUACAGUCACAGAGCCUGGAGUCAGGCCACCUGGCUUCAGAUCCCAGGUGGGUCACUAUGAGGCUGUGUGACAUCCAGCAAGUGUUUUUCUUGUUGUUGAGACAGAGUCUCGCUCUGUCGCCCAGGCUGGAGUGCAGUGGUGCGAUCUCGACUCACUGCAGCCUCCAUCUCCCAGGUUCAAGCGAUUCUCCUGCCUCAGCCUCCGGAGUAGCUGAGGCAGCUACUCUGGAGGCUGAGGUGUGGUGGCUCACACCUGUAAUCCCAGCACUUUGGGAGGCCGAGGUGGGCUGAUCACUUGAGGUCAGGAGUUUGAGACCAGCCUGGUCAACAUGGUGAAACCCUGUCUCUACUAAAAAUACAAAAAAUUAGCCAGGUGUGGUGGUGCAUGCCUGUAAUCUCAGCUACUGAGGAGGCUGAGGCAGGAAAAUUCCUUGAACCGGGGAGGCGGAGGUUGCAGUGAGCUGUGAUUAUGCCACUGCAUUCCAGCCUGGGCAAAAAGAGCAAAACUCUGUCUCCAGAAAAAAAAAAAAAAAAAAUUAAGUACUUAUGAACGUACAUCUGGCAGGAAAAAAAAAAAGUAGUGCUGACACAGGAAUGAGCCUUGAAAACAUUAUGCUAAAUGCAAGAUACCAGACACAAAAGUCACAUGUUAUUUGAUCCCAUUCAUAUGAAGAAGAAAAAAAAGGGAUCCUGGAAUUUGGACAUGGGAAAGUCUAACGGGUUCCACUCUGGCCACGGAGAUGAGCUUACUGAGGCUGGAAGGGGAAGAGAUUUGCCCUGUGUCACUUGGAUAUCCUGUUACCUGAUCGCCUGAAGGAAGGGUGUGGUUGACCAGAGCUGGGCUUACCCUAGGUGGGAGGAGCUGGGGAAACAGAAAGGCCUGUCUCUUGGCUAUCAGGGGAGCUUUAUGCAGAAGCCCUGGUCUGCACGCUGAUCCUUCUAGAAGCCCGAGGUCCUUCAUCUUUGCCAAGACCAAGGAGCGGGAGGGAGACAUGAGACCAUCCCCAUCGCUGUGUAUUGAAGAUGGACCAGAUACCAGGCACGCUGCACAAUCCCCCCAUUUUGCAGUGGAAGAAAGAGAUGGGGAGGGGUACACGGGCCCACCUGGCUGAGGCCACAGGGCAGGCAGGACACAGCUUGGGGUGCAGCUGGGUUCAUGUGGUCCCAGACGAUGAGUUGCCCAUUGAGGAAAAGGUUGACUCAGAAAGGGCUCCGCACCCCCAGGGAUUCCUGCACUGAGCUGGUUAGUUGAGAAACAGAGUGGCAGGACAGUGAGUCACAAGGCUUCGUGAACCCACGCGGAGUCCCCCAGCCCUCUCCACCUGCCCCAGGCCUUCUGGGAGUUUUUACAACAACCCAUGGGAUUGGGGGCCCUUUUCCUUCCCGGGCCCAGCUCCUUCCUGGUAGCCAGCCCCGUGAUGCCCCACCUCUCCUGUCCACUCCCCUCCUUGAAGCCACUCAGAGGCCUGGGGGCAAUCUUGUCUCUGCACUUCUUCUCCCAAGUCCUGGGCAAGUCCCCAGGCUCACUCUCCAUGCCUGCCCAGUGAGCCUCCUGGGCCAUCGGAAGGAGCCCUCAAGAAUGUGCAGUGGGGUUGGACAGCUCUCCUGUCAUGCUCCCUCAGCGCCACAAGGGACCAGAGUUACCCGGUCCCCACCCCAACAUCUCCAUCCCAGGACACACGUCAAGGCCUCGGCCAAGGAGUGAGAAGAAAAUGUGAGCUCAAAGCAAGCGGGCAUCUUUGAAUUGAGCCUGGAUCUCUUUUUUUGAGAUGGAGUCUCACUUUGUCAUCCGGGCUGGAGCAUAGUGGCGCAAUCCCAGCUCACUGCAACCUCUGCCUCCUGAGUUCCUGGGUUCAGGCGAUUUUCCUGCCUCAGCCUCCCGAGUAGGUGCCAGGCACCUGCCACCACGCCUGGCUAAUUUUUUUGUAUUUUUAGUAAAGACGGGGUUUUACCACGUUGGCCAGGCUGGUCUUGACCUCCUGACCUCAAGUGAUCUGCCCUCGACCUCCCAAAGUGCUGGGAUUACAGGCAAGCCUGGGUCUUUCUGGAGAUCCUGGGAGGGAGGAGGAGAGGGAGGACCUUGGGCCACAGGUAGGACACACCGCCUAAUGCAUCUAUCCAGGGCCAAGGCGGGGUCAGGAUGAGAGGGACAGGCCUCCAAACAAAUCAGAGUUACCCUUGGCUCUGAAUCUAAGUCCAGAGGGACUUGGCGGAGAAUGGGGAGGACCUCUCAGACAGACCCUCACUGUCCCUCUAAGUAGCUGCCUCCCCACCCAACCCCCAGGCCCAUCUUACCAAACCAGAGCCCACCAGGCUACUCUGCUUCUGUUCAUAUAAAAGCUUCAGUGGCUUUCCAGUGCUCGGCACUGGGAAAGAGGCCCAGCCCUGCCUCCCUCCCCAAGACCAAAGCUGGGACACUCCUUCACUCCCAUCCUUGCUCCAGCCAUAGGGAGCUGGCCCUGAGCCCCGUCAUGAUGCCUCCUAGGUCUGCCACGUUCUGUUCCCCCACUGCCCUUUCUCCUCUGCCCAGAAAAUUCUAUCCAACCUUCAAAACUCAACUCCAACACUGCAGCAGUCACCCUUGAGAGCCUUAGGGACCAAGCCUUUAUCAUCUUUCUAUUUUUGGCACUGAAAACAGUACCUGGGCAGAAGGUAUCGCCCGAACGUGUCUUCUGAACGGCUGGGCCACGGGGUUUGCCUUGAACUAAAACCUUACAAAGGGGGUCGGUCCAACCUCCCAACUCUCCAGUCUGGGGGAAUUCAGAGAUUCUACAGUGGAGACUGGGCAGGAACUAUAACAACGUGAAUGGCAGAGGGAUAGACUGGAAGAGAGUCCAGAAAGAGACCUGAGCCUCCAUGAGAACUCAGUCUGCAGUAAAGGAAGCAUAUCAAAGUGGGCGGCAAAGGACUUGUCAUUCAAAAUGGCCAGUGAUUUGGAAAAUGAGCAGAGUUCGAUGCCUACUUCACCUGGAAACAAAAGCCAAUGGUUAAAUGUUUCAAUGCAAAGACACAGAAAAGCAAAAAGAAAAAGUACACAGCACCGGAGACAAGAAACCAUGAAGCUCCCUUAUGGUAAAAUGGGCCACAUACGAAUCUUACAUUCCUGUUCUUUUUAAGGCUGUGUUCAAAAAUGAAAGGCAAAGGAC